rnacentral:rRNA from 1 species
UACGAAGGGGGCAAGCGUUACUCGGAAUUACUGGGCGUAAAGCGUGCGUAGGUGGUUCGUUAAGUCUGAUGUGAAAGCCCUGGGCUCAACCUGGGAAUGGCAUUGGAAACUGGCGGACUGGAGUGCGGUAGAGGGUAGCGGAAUUCCCGGUGUAGCAGUGAAAUGCGUAGAGAUCGGGAGGAAAAUCCGUGGCGAAGGCGGCUACCUGGACCAGCACUGUCACUGAGGCACGAAAGCGUGGGGAGCAAGCAUG